UCGCUUCUGCAGCAUAUGUACCAAAGUUGGAAUGAUAUAGAGAAGACUAACAUGGCCCCUGUGCAAGGGCACACAUUCUUAUAGAGAAAGAAACAAAGAAUAGAU